ACUGGAAGGCUUUCUUCAAGGAGACAGCAGUGAUGUAAGGCCAACAAUAAUACUGAGCCACCUACUGGAACAUGCUUCAUGAAAAUUGAAGCUCAGUACCUGUUUGCAUGCCAUGUGUGUGCACGCCAGAUUCCAGAUUCCAGAUGCAGAUUGUUGACAGGAGACUGAUGUCCUACUGCUAGAUUGCUCAUCCUCAGGCUCCCAAAUGUAGGCACAAUGCUAAUACCAGUCUCCAAGUCAUUCUGGUUCACAAUCAGGAUUUAACCUGCAGUUGCUCCUAUAUCUGAACACCAUCGCUGUCAUUCAUCCUGAAGGACUUUUUGCCCAGGCAUGCCUGCUCUGCU
rnacentral:lncRNA from 1 species